CCAAGGAAGGCAGCAGGCGCGCAAUUACCCACUCCCGGCACGGGGAGGUAGUGACGAAAAAUAACAAUACGGGACUCUUUUGAGACCCCGUAAUUGGAAUGAGUACACUCUAAAUCCUUUAACGAUGAACUAUUGGAGGUAAAGUCUGGUGCCAGCAUCCGCGGUAACUCCAGCUCCAAUAGCGUAUAUUAAAGUUGUUGCGGUUAAAAAGCUCGUAGUUGGAUCUCAGUUUGCUCGCGGGCGGUCCGGCGCGAGCCGGCCUACUGCCCGCGGGCGACCGGCCGCCGGUUUCCGCGGAUGAUCUUCACCGGUUGUCCGUGGUGACCGGCAAGUUUACUUUGAAAAAAUUAGAGUGCUCAAAGCAGGCUGCUAUCGCCUGAAUAAUGGUGCAUGGAAUAAUGGAAUAGGACCUCGGUUCUAUUUUGUUGGUUUUCGGAACGCGAGGUAAUGAUUAAGAGGGACAGACGGGGGCAUUCGUAUUGCGACGCUAGAGGUGAAAUUCUUGGACCGCCGCACGACGAACUACUGCGAAAGCAUUUGCCAAGAAUGUUUCCAUUAAUCAAGAACGAAAGUCAGAGGUUCGAAGGCGAUCAGAUACCGCCCUAGUUCUGACCAUAAACGAUGCCAGCCAGCGAUCCGGCUGCGUUCCUCAAAUGACGCGCCGGGCAGCUUCCGGGAAACCAAAGCUUUUGGGUUCCGGGGGGAGUAUGGUUGCAAAGCUGAAACUUAAAGGAAUUGACGGAAGCGCACACAAGAAAUGGGGCCUGCGGCUUAAUUUGACUCAACACGGUGCAACUCACUCGACCCGGACACAGGAAGGAUUGACAGAU
rnacentral:rRNA from 1 species